rnacentral:piRNA from 1 species
GAGGCAAAUAAGGUUGGACUGGUGGCAU